CUACCUAACCUAAUUGUGAGUUGUCUGUUUAAUAAGAAGUAACCUUUUUAAUUGCCGUUUAGUCGGCAGGCCUCGCUGGGACCGUCAACAGAUGAAUGUGCAAGCGGUUGCAGAGGUUACCGGGAUUGGAAGGGAGACAACUGAGCUCUAUCAGACCCUUUGAGAUCAAAUCCCAUUGAAACUCCUGGGAACAUCUGUGAUCCUUCGUCUGAAGUUGAUAUGUUUACCAGCCGAGGUUCUUAGAUGCAGACAACAGUCUGCAUUCCCAGGUACGAGAAGCACAGAAGCCACUACCAGUUGAGCACAGGGACAAGUCCAUAAAGACUACAUACUGAUAAGAUACUGGGACCGGAAGAAAUUGAGACUGUGUUGAAAGGUACUGUACCAACUGCCCACCAACAACAUCAACCUCCGUGAAGAUUGAAGAUCACCCCCGUUGGAUACAUCUGAUUGACUGUAAACAGUUCGGAGAACCAAGAAAGGACAAUGGGGCUAUUGACCCUCUUUUUA